UACGGAGGGGGCUAGCGUUGUUCGGAAUUACUGGGCGUAAAGGGCGUGUAGGCGGCUUGCCAAGUCAGGCGUGAAAGCCCCGGGCUUAACCUGGGAACUGCGUUUGAGACUGACAGGCUAGAGGUUGGGAGAGGAGAGUGGAAUUCCCAGUGUAGAGGUGAAAUUCGUAGAUAUUGGGAAGAACACCGGUGGCGAAGGCGACUCUCUGGUCCACAUCUGACGCUGAGGUGCGAAAGCGUGGGGAGCAAACAGG
rnacentral:rRNA from 1 species